UGGCCAAGGAUGAAAAUAAUAAUCUGAUUGUUUGAUGGAUAAGAGGAUUUUCUGAGGCCA
rnacentral:snoRNA from 1 species